CCUACGGGUGGCAGCAGUGAGGAAUAUUGGUCAAUGGACGAGAGUCUGAACCAGCCAAGUAGCGUGAAGGAUGACUGCCCUAUGGGUUGUAAACUUCUUUUAUAUGGGAAUAAAACAGGGUAUGCCUACCCUCUUGUACGUACCAUAUGAAUAAGGAUCGGCUAACUACGUGACAGCAGCCGCGGUAAUAAGGAGGAUCCGAGCGGUAUCCGGAGUUAUUGGGUUUAACGGGAGCGUAGGUGGAUUGUUAAGUCAGUUGUGAAAGUUUGCGGCUCAACCGUAAAAUGACAGUUGAAACUGGCAGUCUUGAGUGCAGUAGAGGUAAGCGGAAUUCGUGGUGUAGCGGUGAAAUGCUUAGAUAUCACGAAGAACUCCGAUUGCGAAGGCAGCUCACUGGACUGCAACUGACACUGAUGCUCGAAAGUGUGGGUAUCAAACAGGAUUAGAUACCAGUGUAGUC
rnacentral:rRNA from 1 species